AUGGGUUUGGAUUGCAUGUGAGCUAAGGCCCUGGUCCACUUCAGGUCAAGAAAGAAAAGUGGUUGGCAUAUGAGCUGAAGCUGAGGUCUGGAGCCAUGGAACCCAGGUUAUGUCAUACAUGGAUACAGCGUGAUUUCAGUCUGAGAGAAGAGGGAAAUACUUGCAACCUGGAUGGUGUUAGCUGAUGCUACCAAAAUUAAUAGUUGCACCCUCUUACACCUUCUUGAUCUUACUAUACAGAGCUUCUGGAGGAUAGUUGCAGACCUAAGUCCUCUCUUCAGACUCAUGCUUCAUGCCCAUUCAACUUGACUCCUGCUCUACAGCUUGGAUGAAAAGACUGAGAGGAAGGUAAGGGAAAGUCAAACAGAAUUUGGGAUCUCGUAUUUCUCAUGCAUGCAGGAGAGAGGAUGGAUGCUUCUGCAUUGUGACAGGAUUCUUCCAAAACUGAGUACAAGGUCACCUUCCAGCUCAGGGCUGGAGAAGAAGAUUGAGUUUGACUUCUGCACCUGGAGAAAGAGAUGUUGUUUGCAUACUACACUCCUUGGAAAUCCUGCAGGUACCACAUAGCAGGUUAGCACCUCUGAGACACGCUAACAGUGAAUGCUUCUGCAGCUUGUGGUAGAGGAAGUGUAGAUGGGCAGAAAAGGUCUGGGCAAUUACUCCAGGGGAAGAAGAGAGAAAUCAAUGGAUUCUGAAGGACACAAAGCAAAUGUGACAUUUCCAGAAGAUAAAGUUGAUUUUCUUAUUUUAUUUUAUUUUUUUUCUUUUUAGCC
rnacentral:lncRNA from 1 species